UGCCAAUUUCCAAACUAUAAAUGGUUUCCUGGAAAAUUUAGCAGUCUAUUCUCAACCCAUUAGAGUUACCUCAGGCACAGCCCUGGCAUUGAUAGUUUGUUGUCAAAAUUCCAUUUAACCUUCAGUUCAGGUUCUCCAUGAAGCCUUACUGAUUCAUCCUAUUGGAAAUAAUCCUUUCUUCCUUUGAACUCUUACAGAACAGUUCAUUCUCAUAUCCACUACCAUUUUUAUUUUCUAUUUUGGUUACUUGUGCACAUGCCUGAUCUCCCCUAGUAUACCUAACAGAAUCACAGAAUGUUAGGACCCUGAUCCCACCGAUGAUCAAUAUAAAAGCUUUGACCUGUUCUGUUUCUGACCUGGUUCUGUGUGCUCUUUCUUAGGCAGCCCAAUGGUUCCCCUGGGAGCCCAUCAUAUUGGUACUAUACUUAGUGUGGGUCCUGAUCACUUUUGUCUAUGACUUCCCUUUUCAGACAGUCAUCAUGAGCAGCAGUGCAAAGAUGAUUGUGUCCCAUGAAAUGUUUCUUGAAGACUUUGUAAACACAAGGCAUUCUACUCUGAUCACACAAGAAGCCCUUUAGGAGUAUCGUUAAACACAGCUUAAAUGGUGAAGACAUGCAAGAAUCUCUUUUCUCCUCCAUCAACUUCAAGUAUGUCAUUGUUAUUUUAAAUAGAGCACCAACACAGAAUUAAAGUCACUUUUCUGGGAAAGAAGUUUCAUUCUGUGAAGACUUUCUAAAUUAUUUUUAUUUUCUAAAAUAUAUUUGGC
rnacentral:lncRNA from 1 species